rnacentral:rRNA from 1 species
CGGGACUUGCGGCCUGCUAUACAUGCAGUCGAGCGAACAGAUAAGGAGCUUGCUCCUUUGACGUUAGCGGCGGACGGGUGAGUAACACGUGGGUAACCUACCUAUAAGACUGGGAUAACUUCGGGAAACCGGAGCUAAUACCGGAUAACAUUUGGAACCGCAUGGUUCUAAAGUGAAAGAUGGUUUUGCUAUCACUUAUAGAUGGACCCGCGCCGUAUUAGCUAGUUGGUAAGGUAACGGCUUACCAAGGCGACGAUACGUAGCCGACCUGAGAGGGUGAUCGGCCACACUGGAACUGAGACACGGUCCAGACUCCUACGGGAGGCAGCAGUAGGGAAUCUUCCGCAAUGGGCGAAAGCCUGACGGAGCAACGCCGCGUGAGUGAUGAAGGGUUUCGGCUCGUAAAACUCUGUUAUUAGGGAAGAACAAACGUGUAAGUAACUGUGCACGUCUUGACGGUACCUAAUCAGAAAGCCACGGCUAACUACGUGCCAGCAGCCGCGGUAAUACGUAGGUGGCAAGCGUUAUCCGGAAUUAUUGGGCGUAAAGCGCGCGUAGGCGGUUUCUUAAGUCUGAUGUGAAAGCCCACGGCUCAACCGUGGAGGGUCAUUGGAAACUGGGAAACUUGAGUGCACAAGAGGAAAGUGUAAUUCCAUGUGUAGCGGUGAAAUGCGCAGAGAUAUGGAGGAACACCCCUGGCGAAGGCGACUUUUCUGGUCA